rnacentral:rRNA from 1 species
GAGUUUGAUCAUGGCUCAGGACGAACGCUGGCGGCGUGCCUAACACAUGCAAGUCGAGCGGAGACAGUGAGUGGCUUGCUACGAACUGUUUUAGCGGCGGACGGGUGAGUAACGCGUGAGCAACCUUUCCCAGACAGGGGAAUAACACACCGAAAGGUGUACUAAUACCGCAUAAGACCACGGGAUCACAUGGUUCUGGGGUAAAAGAAUUAUCGGUUUGGGGUGGGCUCGCGUCCGAUUAGGUAGUUGGUGAGGUAACGGCCCACCAAGCCGACGAUCGGUAGCCGACCUGAGAGGGUGAUCGGCCACAUUGGGACUGAGACACGGCCCAAACUCCUACGGGAGGCAGCAGUGGGGAAUAUUGGGCAAUGGAGGAAACUCUGACCCAGCAACGCCGCGUGGAGGAAGAAGGUUUUCGGAUCGUAAACUCUUGUCCUUGGAGACGAGUAGAAGACGGUAUCCAAGGAGGAAGCCCCGGCUAACUACGUGCCAGCAGCAGCCGCAGUAAU